rnacentral:antisense_RNA from 1 species
AAAACCCGGAAGGACCCCGCCGAAGGUUUUCUCCGGUUCGUGAGAGGGACGGAGUCCCGCUCUGUCACGCAGGCUGCCAGGCUGGCGUACAGUGGCGCAAUCUCAGCUCACUGCAACCUCCACCUCCUGGGUUCAAGCGAUUUUCUUGCCUCUGCCUCCUGAGUAGCUGGGAUUACUGGCACACACCACCAAUGCACAGGGAGCUAUGAGACAUCAAUCAAUAUAUGUAAGAUGUACAUCAGUUUCAUCUGGAGAGAUGGGACAACAUGAAGCAGGGAGGGGGCUCCCAGGUCACAGGGAAUUUUCUUGUGGGCAAAUUGUGAGGGAGUUCCUUGUUCAAAAUGCCAAGAACCUGGAUGACUCAUAGUCAAGACCCUCCACCAGUAACAUAUAUUGGCGAGCCAGCCAGGAGCUUGGAACCCUCGGUGGACAGUGCCUAAGCACAGAGGCAAACACAGGUUUCUAACAGGGCCACUCUCCGGUGAAACUGAAAGGUUUCUGUGUGAAAGUGCCUGACCACCACUGCCCAGUUCAGACCACUACAGGAAACACUCCAU